rnacentral:lncRNA from 1 species
GGUUAUCAACCUUUAGUCUACCACUCCAGUAAGGUUAUCAACCUCUAGUCUUCUAUCUACCACCCAGUAGGUUUAUCAACAUUUAGUCUACCACCCCAGUAAGGUUAUCAACCUUUAGUCUGCCACCUACCACCCCAGUAAGGUUAUCAACCUUUAGUCUACCACUCCAGUAAGGUUAUCAACCUCUAGUCUACCACCUACCACCCUGAUAAGGUUAUCAAUCUCUAGUCUACCACCCCAGUAAGGUUAUCAACCUUUAGUUUACCACCCCAGUAAGGUUAUUAAUCUCUAGUCUACAACCUACCACCCCAGUAAGAUUAUCAACCUCUUGUCUGCCACCUACCACCCCAGUAAGGUUAUCAACCUUUAGUCUACCACCCCAGUAAGGUUAUCAACCUUUAGUCUACCACCCCAGUAAGGUUAUCAACUUUUAGUCUACCACCCUAGUAAGGUUAUCAACUUUUAGUCUACCACCCCAGUAAGGUUAUCAACCUUUAGUCUACUACCCCAGUAAGGUUAUUAACCUCUAGUCUGUCACCUACCAACCCAGUAUGGUUAUCAACCUUUAGUCUAGCACCCCAGUAAGGUUAUCAACCUCUCGUCUACCACCCCAGAUCAGACGUGUCACAUCACAUCUGCUCAUGUAGCCUGCAACAAAUAUCACAUUUCCUCGUGAGGAGUGUAAGUGUUGGAAUCAUCCCAAACAUAGGCAUUGUCUUUAGAUUGAAUGUGCGUGUGUGU